UCGAUUCCUUGCCUUUUUCUCUUUAAAAAUUUCUCCAAAAAUCCGUCCUCCCUAGGUUGGAACGAGCAUACACUUUAUAUAAGAAAAAAAAGAAAAAUCUAGUAAAGUAACUACUAGAACCAAAUAGGCUUUCUACACAUGCAUCGUCUAAAACAACGAUUUUUAUCAGCUGUAGCAAAGAAAGAAACUUCAUAGAAGUCAAAAUAGGAAAAAAUAAAAAUGCCUAGCAACUUUUUUCUAUGGAUAUAAGGCUUUAAUUGAUAGAGAUAGAGGAAGCAAGGUGAAUGCCGAUAAAUUACAAAAUUAGGCCUGACUUAAGUUUUUUGGAGAUGGACAUGCGCGGCCGUGCAUCUGGGUGUAUGACCGUGCAUAUGCUUGCGCACAUCUACCAGUUCAUCUAUGAUACUUGCGCUCUCAUGCGCGUGGUUGGGGAUUCUCGUGCGCGUCCACAUAAGAGAAGUUCCUCCUCUCCCAGCUUUGUUUCCUUCCUCAUCAUGCAAUUAUUUGUCCCGUGAUCCCCUCCGCACCGCCUGGACAGAAAAGCAAAAUAUUGGACAAUAAUCAGACUAAAUAUCUAGAAAAUCAACAAAAUCAAGGCCACAAAUCGAACAUAAAUUUGAGAUUUUAAGCUCAUCAAACACCCUACACUUAUAUUUUGCUUGUCCACAGAAAAUCUAUUACUAAACUACUCCUUACACUGCAACUUCCUUAGACAAAUGGACAAACAGAAUUAACUAGAUCGAAUUAUGUGGUCAGUUUCAACCUUAUCCCUGAUGAUGACAUCCCACUUGUGUCGCGGUCAAAUCCGUGCCAAAUCCUCAACACACCUCAUAAGAAAAAGACAAUGCCCAUUCAAACACUAAUUGGAAACAACAACAUAGGGAAAUAACACAGUAAUCACUCACCCUCACAAUGAAGUGAAUCAUGCUUUCAUCUCCCUAAGCACUUCAAUACCUACAAAUUCCUAUGUGACCUACAUGUUUUUAAGUUACAAUUGCCUCCAGGCUUCCUCUUUAGAAUAACACCCAGUUCCCAUUUCUGAGGAUAAUGUACAAGGACUUUACAUUAACAGGGAAAUGUUCAUUUUUAUUUCAUUAUUCAACAUGAGAAUAUUAUUUUCUUUAGCUUUUCACAAUCCCCUGCUUAGGCACCUUACGUGCAUUCAUGAUUGUGCACCUUUUUUUAAUUCUCAUUGGUUCCACUUGAAACGAC
rnacentral:lncRNA from 1 species